rnacentral:rRNA from 1 species
GCUUGUCUCAAAGAUUAAGCCAUGCAUGUCUAAGUAUAAACAAAUCUAUACGUGAAACUGCGAAUGGCUCAUUAUAUCAGUUAUAGUUUAUUUGAUGGUUCUUGCUACUUGGAUAACCGUAGUAAUUCUAGAGCUAAUACAUGCGUCAAACCUCGACUUCUGGGAGAGGUGUAUUUAUUAGAUGGAAACCAAUGCGGGGCAACCCGGAUUAUGGUGAUUCAUAAUAACUUUUCGAACCUCAUGCCUUUAUGGUGGAGGUGAUUCAUUCAAAUUUCUGCCCUAUCAGCUUUCGAUGGUAGGGUAUUGGCCUACCAUGGCGUUAACGGGUAACGGAGAAUUAGGGUUCGAUUCCGGAGAGGGAGCCUGAGAGAUGGCUACCACAUCCAAGGAAGGCAGCAGG